UCCUUCUUGAGCUCGUAGUUGCGGAGAACCCGCAGUAGCUGGACGUCCUGGCUGAGGAAGGCGGGGGGCAGGAGACCAUGAAUUCCCAACUGCAGACGCUCCUCCAGGGAGAACGCCAUGCCCUACAAACAAAGUUUGGGUCUGACCUGCAUACUUAACAACAGCAGCCGCAGCAGCAGCAGCAUCAUAUCUAUGGCUAUUUUCAGACUGAAGCACAAUGGGAUUUGCCUCUUAAAUCAGAUCUAUGAAGAUUACUAUCUGUAAUUUGUUAACACUGUUAUUUCUGAACAGUGAACAGAUCAGAUUUGGGUCAGUAUCAAAAUAACAUGUCUAUUUGCAGUG